rnacentral:rRNA from 1 species
GACGAACGCUGGCGGCGUGCUUAACACAUGCAAGUCGAACGAUGAAGUUCCUUCGGGAAUGGAUUAGUGGCGAACGGGUGAGAAACACGUGAGAAACCUGCCUUUCAUUUUGGGAUAACUCCGGGAAACCGGAGCUAACACCGAAUACUCCGUCUCGGCGGCAUCGCUGAGCCGGGAAAAAAUUUUGAUGAAAGAUGGUCUCGCGGCCUAUCAGCUAGUUGGUGAGGUAAUGGCUCACCAAGGCGACGACGGGUAGCCGGCCUGAGAGGGCGACCGGCCACACUGGGACUGAGACACGGGCCAGACUCCUACGGGAGGCAGCAGUGGGGAAUAUUGGGCAAUGGGCGCAAGCCUGACCCAGCGACGCCGCGUGAGGGAUGAAGGCCUUCGGGUUGUAAACCUCUUUCAGUAGGGAAGAAGCGAAAGUGACGGUACCUAAAGAAGAAGCACCGGCUAACUAUGUGCCAGCCGCCGCGGUAA